CCCCUAAAGUUCAGCCGGAGCAGCAGGGAGAAAGAAAGAGAAAGAGCUUUCAGCAGAGAGCUGGAAGUGAUGGGAGGAGGGACCCAGGUUCGGGUCAGAGCCUCCACAGGUUGGUUUGUUGUUGUUGGGAUCUUUGGCUGGGGAAGGGGAGGCGGUGGGGGGGGUGCUGCGAGCGGGUCCGAGAGGGCAGCGCUGCUUCCUUCUAACCCCGCGCUCUCGGACGAGGGCGGCAGGCAGGGAGGCAGAAGGGGUUUAUUUUUUCACACACACACACCCCCGACUGCUCUUUCCCCUUCCCUCUGCCUGCUCCCUCCCCCGCAAACUUUCUGUGCCAGGCGGGGGCCGCGGCAGAGGCCGCCCGCGCCCAGCUGUCAAAAACACCCAGCGACCGCCGCCAACUUUGUGGCGAGGGCGGCCGGCGGCGCCGCGCGGGGCUGCCGCCCCUCUGCCUCCUCUGCCCCCUUUCGCCUUCCCGUCCUCCGCCCCGCUGCUCCUCGAGCGGCUGCAGUCCCUCCCGCUGCUUCUCUUCCUUAUCGGCUCCAGGCGCUGCUGGAGCGAGAGAGAGGGAAGGCGGCAAUGCGAAAGAAAGCUGGAGGGAGGGCUGAGAGGGGGCAGAGAGACGGCGGAAAAUGGAGCGUAGCCCAGAGGAGGGGGGAACAGACAAGAGUCACAUCUGUGUGUGACACGGAGCCAAACCGAGCGAAACCCUGCCCCGGCGGCGCCGUGGAAGCGCAGCCGCCGCCGCGGCCCUGACUGGGCGCGCAGGCACACGGCGGCCGGCCGGGCGCGCUCCCGCGGGGGCGCGGGGCGGGGCGGGACGUUCCGCGCCCUCCCGCGGCCGCCGGCGGACCGGAGCGGGCCGAGCUGCUCCGCACGGAGCUAGCGCACGGCGCCCGGCACCGCGCUGCCCACCGUCAGUCCCCCUGUCCCCUCUGAAGCCUUCCCUUACCGGUUCGAAGCGCCGGUCUCCAGGCGAGCCCCGCCGGCGGCGCCGAGGGGGUGGCGGAACCGACCCGCGUCGUACAGGGGCUGCUCGGUCGGGGGAAGGUGGCUGAGGGCUGUCAGGCUUCACCUGCGGGGACAGACAGCCCGGCCCGGCUGUCCCUCGUGUCCGGCCUGAGAAGGCGCUGAGGGUCACCAGUGCGGUCAAAACCGGCUUCCCUCGUCAAGGCGCCGUGUAAACACGAGGUUUAUACACGAGGUUUAAACACGACCGGAGCGUUAAAAAGUGAACACGAGGAGAACUUUCCAGGCGAUGUGAAACACAGAUAGAACAUUUUGCUCCUUUUUGGUGUGGCUGGACACUAAGAUGACCUAGCAGGAACUGAGAAAAAUUGAGAGAAGAGGGGAGGUAGCCGUCUGCAGUCCUGAUUUUUCCUGCAUCUGCUAUGGACUGAACUCACAGUAAGCUUGCUGUAAUGAACGGCAUGUCCCCGGGAAUUGCCAACUUCCCAUGCUUGUUACCAUAUUUUGGCAUCUUUGUUACUUAUGUAUUUCCUAUGCCUGUCAGAAGAGAGAAGGAACAACCUAUGUGUUUAUGACUACAUGAGCAUCUCUAUAAAACAAGUAAGAUGAUAAAGGAAGAAUACCUAAUACAGAAAUGGACAGAUUUUGAAUGCAGAAGAUACCUAAAAAAAAGACUUCACAGUUUUACAGGAAAAGAAAGUGUAAUAUAGAGCAGAAACACGAAAGGGAAGAUCUGUAUUUGGCUCUGAAAGGCACAACUCAUUCUUCAGAAUGGUAUAGCAUGGGAUGACUCUGAAGCUGUGAAAUAUAAAUCAGAGAGAGGGGAGCUCUAAGAAGGACUUCAUUUAAGCUCCAGAGAUGCUUCAUGAGAUACACGGCACUGCUGUAGAAUUCAAGGCAGCUCACACUUGGAUACUCAAAUCUAAUAAGUCUUCACAAUGAGGUACUGUGUAUACAAAAUGUGCUAGUGAACUGAGAGCCUAUCCAGAUUUAGGAAAGGGAAAUAAAGUACUGACAUAGUUCAUGGCUCCAAGCAUAGAAAUCUUAAGACAGAGAAAACUCAUGUAAGGGAUUCUAGUUGAGUACUUGGAAAUUAUAGGGUGCUACCUGCCAUUACACUUCCUGGCCUAUCCCAACUUCAGUUAUAUGCCCUGUCCCUUCUCAAACUUCAUCCAGAUUCCUUUUUUACUCUAGGCUCUUCUUCUCUCUAAUAUCUCUCAGUUCUAUCAACAGCAUCAAUUGUUCAUGUUCAGGAAAAAUGCUUGCUGGUUGAGAGCAAGAUUAUGAAGGCAGAAACUUUACCCUGGCCUUUUUAAAAUGAAGGAAAAACUCCAUUCUCCACAGUCCAGCUGAAAACAUGAAGUUCCAGUUGAACUGAUGGAAUUAUGGCAUGGCUUGAUGAAUAAACAAGAUCUACUAUUGAAGAGCUUGGUUUUUCAUUUUAAUUUUUUAGAAUAUGGUAUUCUUGAUGGAUAUCAUUAGGAAACACACUUUGACCAUUUUCAAAGUCACUAAUAUUUGGCUAGGAAUCUUUUACCUGUAUCUGCCUUUUCAGUCUUGGAUAAUCAAGAGUAAAAAAAGAACAAUUUUCUAUAUUCAGGUUUCAGAAAUGAACCUCUUAUUCAGAAACAUCUGGAAAUUGUUGUUUCAGCAACUGAGGUCUUGUGUGGUGUAGAGAACAGCAGGUACAAUUAUGGAAAAGACUUUUGCUGUACUGUGGGUAGGAUUGCGUGGUGCUAACUAAAAGAAGGAUCAACCACCACACUGCUGUGAAGUGAACUGGACAAUAAAGACUCUUGGUUUCAUUUCUGAAGAAAUUACAAGUGCACUUGGGACUGUGCGUUCUGAAGACCAGAUAUGAAGCAAAAAAGCGAACCAAAUAAGUUAUUAGUAUCUGAGAGAGGCAGAAAGUUUGCAAUAUUGCAUCUCGCCAGAGCUUAUCUGGCUCUAUCCCUUCAUCCUGCUCCAGGAGUGGGUCACACCCCAGGAGCAGGAUGACCCGAGGUGUGACUAGAGCACUUGCACUACGGCUUUUUGGCUGUCAGUCUGAGCUCUGAGGAGACAAGGAUGAGAGGGAGGUCUUUUGCAUGGGACAACAGAGGAUUUAUUGCUCUGGGGAAUCUUGGGGGCAAAAGACAGAAAAUGCGAGCGUGCAACAGCUGAAAUAGGGAGGCGGUUCAAAGGGAGGGUACAAAGCAUCAGCUAAUCAGAGAUAUCCUGGGGAGGGUAAAAGGCAGGGUUCA